rnacentral:tRNA from 1 species
AAUUUCGUAGCUCAGUUGGUUAGAGCAAUCGCCUUUUAAGCGAUGGGUCUCAGGUUCGAAUCCUGACGGAAUUA